AUCUUUAGAAGCACAUAUGCUGCUGACGAGGUCGGUUGUGCUGUCUCUCGCUCUUCAAAUGAGAGCGCUGCUUCCUCCAUGCUGUACGGGCAGACUGAAGGGGAGAGAAGGUGUAUCCC